CCUACGGGAGGCAGCAGUAGGGAAUCUUCGGCAAUGGACGGAAGUCUGACCGAGCAACGCCGCGCGAGUGAAGAAGGUUUUCGGAUCGUAAAGCUCUGUUGUAAGAGAAGAACGGGUGUGAGAGUGGAAAGUUCACACUGUGACGGUAUCUUACCAGAAAGGGACGGCUAACUACGUGCCAGCAGCCGCGGUAAUACGUAGGUCCCGAGCGUUGUCCGGAUUUAUUGGGCGUAAAGCGAGCGCAGGCGGUUAGAUAAGUCUGAAGUUAAAGGCUGUGGCUUAACCAUAGUACGCUUUGGAAACUGUUUAACUUGAGUGCAAGAGGGGAGAGUGGAAUUCCAUGUGUAGCGGUGAAAUGCGUAGAUAUAUGGAGGAACACCGGUGGCGAAAGCGGCUCUCUGGCUUGUAACUGACGCUGAGGCUCGAAAGCGUGGGGAGCAAACAGGAUUAGAUACCCUGGUAGUCCACGCCGUAAACGAUGAGUGCUAGGUGUUAGACCCUUUCCGGGGUUUAGUGCCGUAGCUAACGCAUUAAGCACUCCGCCUGGGGAGUACGACCGCAAGGUUGAAACUCAAAGGAAUUGACGG
rnacentral:rRNA from 1 species